rnacentral:lncRNA from 1 species
CUGGAUGUAAAAAGAAUAAUCAAUCAACUGGCUUCCAGUUAUUUUGAGUACUCUCAAAUCUGCGUGUAAUGGCCACAAUUAUUCAAAAUUCCUAAGCAGGUAGGGAUUUUACAGUAGAGGAUAUAAAGAAAUACGAAUUUCUUGAAUUUUGUUAGGCAUCGACUAUGUCUGUAUGUGUUUGUGUGGCUAGAGUGAAGGUUUAAGAUUCAAAAGAUUAAUGGUUGAUGUCUAGCCAAAAGGAUAGUUCUAUUAUAUAGUAGUAUCAGUAUUUACGUGCCUGUUUUUUUAAUGAAGGGUCGUCAAUAUGUACUAUUGAUUAAGUUAAACGUAUAUAUCAAUCAGAACGGAAUAGAUAUGAUAAUACCAAACUUUUCAUCAUGUAUAUUAUAAUUAUCAUGAUAAAAUAACCAGUAAAUUUAAUAUUUUUGUACACAAAAUUUUGCAGCUAAAACGCUGAAAACCGUUUUACAUUGGGGGGCUUCGCCUCCUACCAGGGCCCUGCCCUGGACCUGCAGGGGGCCUUUAGCGCCCACCCCGGGCCCCCUGCCGAUUGGUGCCUACAGUUGACUGAAUACCUAGCU